CCUACGGGCGGCAGCAGUGAGGAAUAUUGGUCAAUGGUCGGGAGACUGAACCAGCCAAGCCGCGUGAGGGAGGAAGGUACAGAGUAUCGUAAACCUCUUUUGUCAGGGAACAAAGGCGGGGACGUGUCCCCGGAUGAGUGUACCUGAAGAAAAAGCAUCGGCUAACUCCGUGCCAGCAGCCGCGGUAAUACGGAGGAUGCGAGCGUUAUCCGGAUUUAUUGGGUUAAAGGGGUGCGCAGGCGGCCAGUUAAGUCAGCGGGCAAAGCCCGGGGCUCAACCCCGGCCCGCCGUUGAAACUGGUAGUCUCGAGUUGGAGAGAGGUAUGCGGAAUGCGCGGUGUAGCGGUGAAAUGCAUAGAUAUCGCGCAGAACUCCGAUUGCGAAGGCAGCAUGCCGGCUCCACACUGACGCUGAGGCACGAAAGCGUGGGUAUCGAACAGGAUUAGAUACCCCAGUAGUC
rnacentral:rRNA from 1 species